rnacentral:rRNA from 1 species
GAUGAACGCUGGCGGCGUGCCUAAUACAUGCAAGUAGAGCGCUGAAGGAGGAGCUUGCCCUUCUGGAUGAGUUGCGAACGGGUGUGUAGCGCGUAGGUAACCUGCCUGGUAGCGGGGGAUAACUAUUGGAAACGAUAGAUAAUACCGCAGGACAGCAGUUAUUGCAUGAUAACUGUUGAAAAGGGGCAAAUGAGCUACUACCAGAUGGACCUUCGUUGUAUUAGCUAGUUGGUGAGGUAACGGCGCACCAAGGCGACGGUACAUAGCCGACCUGGGAGGGGGGUCGGCCACCCCGGGACUGAGACACGGCCCAAGCCCCUACGGGAGGCAGCAGUAGGGAAUCUUUGGCAAUGGACGGAAGUCUGACCGCGCCACGCCGCGUGAGUGAAGAAGGUUUUCGGAUCGUAAAGCUCUGUUGUAAGGGAAGAACGAGUGUGAGAGUGGAAAGUUCACACUGUGACGGUACCUUACCAGAAAGCGCCGGCUAACUACGUG